ACGACUGCCCCUCCUCAGCGUCCUCCCGCCGCCCCUCUCCUUCGAUCUGAUCUCCUUGGCGUCCCGCCGUCACCGGCGACCCCUCGGCGCCUCGCCGUCGCCGUCACAUCAGACGCCGGCCACUCCUCCGCGACCUCAUGUUGUCGUCCUCUCCUUCGCAAGGAACACCCGACCCUUCCUCCGCGGCCUUGUGACGCCGACCACUCCUUCGUGGCCUCACACCGCCCUCCUCUCCCUCCUUCCUUCGUCCAAGGCCAUGACUUCCCCUCCCUGACGCGAUCUGACGGAGAGAGGGCCAAGCCUUGCCACUCCGGUGGUCACUUUGGCCAAAUCCGGUCGGGGAGCCACCGUAGAGCCUCAACGUCGGCGCAGCAGCAGCAGCAGUCCUUGCGACGGUGAGUGCCGGAGCUCGUCAAGCAACUCGCCGUCGGCGGCCACGACCACCUCAUUCCCUGCCGUGCGUCUCCGUCAACUACUGUGGCAUUGACGACAGCGAGCUAGGAGAGCCUACGAGGUAGACGCCCUACUGACUGUGUGGUCUAGGCCUCCACAUGGCUCCUCUUGCGGCAGACUGCUAGUUGUUUGUCAUGUCCUUGAUCACCCUAAUUUAAUCCAAGUCAGGGUAGUCUCUUGCAUUAAGCCAUCUGGCUCUGCUCUGCAAUUUCUUGAGAGAACAUUGUGGAGAACCUAACUCAUGGAUGGUUGGUUCACUUUUUGGGAUGAAUUGAUGACAAGGAGAGCACGUUGGAAAUAGUAGAAGUGGAGACGGGAGAGGAUGAUGGGAACGAUCAAGUACAUCACAAUCAUCGGCAUCAUGUGGCUCUCCUACACCAACGCAAUUCAGGUUUGAUAAUUGCUGAGGGUGGGUGCCAUGGUCGUCUAUGCUGGGCUUCUGCACGAUCACAUCUUCCACAUGUUUGGUGCUGGAGUGGCUGAUCUUGUGGAAGGGUUACGUUUUCUUCUUCUCAUGGAUUUUGACCAUUGUUUUAGAGGGAUUUGGAUAAUGGUUCUGGUAGUUAGUACAUUCAUAUUCUUUGGCAUCCUCAAGCUGUUGGCUGGAUAUACUGCAAUUAUUGUGAUUUAAAUUAUGAUGGCCUGCAGCAUGCCUCCCUAUAUUUAAGGCAAAUGAUAAUGGAAGUACACCUUCAUGAACAAGUUAGCCGAGGUCUUGGAAUUCCAACCUAGGGUAAACAAGUGAACUCAUUUAACGGUUUCCCCUUUUCUGGUGAUGCAGGUAUAGCUCAUUCAUUAAGGGCUACUCAGCUCUGUCUUUUUCUCUCUCUUUGGUGAUUGGAUUAUAUGCUACUCUGUGUUGAAGGAUCUGUUCAUGCUAAAUUUAACAAAUCUUGUCAUGUUUUCAUAAAUUAUCUAUUUGAUCACUCUGCGUGGAAUGGUAAACAUUUGUAGCAUGAUCAGGGUUUGAUUAUUUUUAUCAGUGCACAUACCUUCAGAAAAUAAACCAAUGGGUCUAUCUUGUUGGUCUUUCUACUUAUGUAUGUAUACAUAUGGGAUGCUUUGUUAGUUCUAUUGUGCAAAUAAUCAUUUUUUGUGUUGAUGAGCUAUGAUAAUGGCUCCCCAAAUUACAAUACUUGCUAAACGUACACUUUGUUGCGAUGAAAUCCUAUUUAUAAACAGUAUAUUUUCCUAAUGGAUUGUGAUUAAACUUUGUUGCUUUUACUCACUUUGGUGCUGCUUCAGUGUGUAUGUACUAAAUCGUAAAAUAAGAUGAUUGUAUAUUUUGCUUUAUAGUCAUUCAGCUUGCUUCAGUGUGAUAUGUACUCACUUUGGUUCAUGAGGAGAAUGCUGAGAAGAUUCAGCUUGCUGUGCUAAAUGUCAUUCUGGCUUGACUCGAUAAUAUCGUGGUAACAUGGUGGAAUAUUUUAUUUUUUUAUUGUAACAAACUGUAGUCAAAUUCAUCAGAUAUAUAUACUUCUAGGAUCGGAGGAACAAGUAGUUUUAGCCUUCUGUUUUCGAAUUCUUAGUUUAACAUCUCUGUACUUGUUGAAGCUGUUAUCUCCAACUCUACAUGAGCAUAGUGAUAUGCAGUAUAAAACAUCUCCAUUUUUCUUCUUCUUUGGUGAGCAUGGAAUAUCCAAAUUGACAUCUAGAGAUAGUUAAGUUGGUAGGGUAAUGUUCACUAGCUUUUUUAGGAUCAAAAUUGAUGCAUUAAUUUUCUUAUCAAAGGAUGAUUAACGGAAUUGUGGUAUUGCGGCCAAAAUAUACUCUCUUCAGUUUGUUGGUAAUGAGCAAAAUGUAGUCCUACUGGUAAUGGGUUUUGGAUUCGUGCGUGAAAUACAUUGUUGCAUGCAUGUUUCCUAAGUGAAAAAUGUAAUGGUUCUGAAUAUAGCUGGAGAUGAAUUAUUUGCAGCAUCUAGGCAACAACAGUGGCAUGGAUACAGUUAACAGUACUAGCAAUUGAUGAUAUUGUUAUAGCAAUUUUAAUUUGGAAAAAAUAUGUGCGAGAUUAGUCUUUUCUUUUCUUUCAUGCAAUGAAGAGAGUACAAAGUAUACUACAAUCUUUUGUAACCCACACAAUAAUUCAAAAAGCAGGGCCAAACAGGACCAAUGAAGACGCGUACAGUACUGUUCUUCAUGAUAUGAUGUUAAUUUUUCCCCACAAAUGAAUUUAAUAUUUAAUUCUUUGUGAGACAACUACUAAAAUGAAGUAGUUUAUAGGUUUGAAAAUUCCAUGUAUUGUGCAUAUUUUUAUGUGCGCACUUGACUCAGAUGCAAGCUAUUCGCAAUACGUAUAUUCUGAAAGAAAACAUGACGUAGCUGCUGAAUGCUCUCUGAAACAUAGCAUAUUUUUUAAAAUACUCUAUUUGCUUUGAAUGAGGUUGCCUUUUGCUUUAAACAAUUAACUGCAUUCUGAAAUACUUUUAAAUUUGGCUAAGAUUAAGAGAUCUAGCAAAUGAGUCCAAGUCUGAAAACCAGGUGCAUCUUGAGUAUUUCUCCUCCAUGGCGGGUGGUCCAUCUCCAUCGUGGAGUGUUGCUCUUUCAACAACAUCUGGUCUAUUUGAAUUGUACAUUACUGUUCUGAGUCUCCAAGAACCAGCUACAACACCUAUACAGUAAGAAUCGAACUGCAAAGGAGCUGAACCCUCUGUUGUUUCAUGACUCCCUUAAUCCCCUUGCGAGGAGCGGCCACCAUGGGGCAGGGACAGAGCCGUUGAGCGCCCUUGCUCGGUGGUCCACCACCCUUCUCGCCUCCCGUUCGAUGUCUCUUCUCCACACCCCUUCGUUCGAUGUGCUUCGACUCAUGAUGUACCAGAGUGGAGUCAGUAUAGAUAUCAGAGGAACUUGUUGGGAAAUGUCGCUUGUGUGGAGAGGCUGGAAAUACGAAGACAAGUAUGUGUUUGAUUAUUUUGAAGCUAUUUAACAUAUUAGUGGUGUCAACGAGGGUAAGUCCAGGUUCCACAUGUCAAGCUAUAUCAGUUUUUUUCGCAAAGAAAAUUCUCUUUAUACAACAAGACAAUACUUAUUUGUGAUUUUGCAUGCCGUCGUGGAAUUCUAGCGAACAUGUCAAUUUGUUCGUGAUUUCGGACGUACAGUAUUUGGGUCCCAUGCACGAGGAGACGUUGAUAAGUUACUUCAGAUAUACAUAUGGACUGAACUAAAUAUGUAUUUAGAGAUUAUAAAAGUGUGUGUUGUUUUGCAAUAGUUUUAACCCACUCAACUGUAUUAUAAAUGUGCAAAAAAAAUCUGGCCAGGUGGCAAAGCAGAGUAUUUAGCUAGGUGAGCUAUAGACCAGGAGCUGGUGGGCGGCAGGGAAAGCACGCCGCUUCUCCUAGAGGCGCGUGCGUCAAAAAAUGAACAUAUCUGAGCCAUGCGCCUUGCUUCUACUUGUUUCUAUAGAGAUUGGCUCGCUUAGAUUUUAGACUAGGCGGUUGCUGUCGUGGUCGCCAAGGUGAUCCUACAGCACUGCCAUGGGGAUUGUUCAUGAUUCUAUCUGGACAAGCGGUGGUGGUGAUUGGCUGGGUGGUGGUGUUGCCUUGGGGAGAGACAAAGUGAAGGUAAAAUCAAGCAAGAUCCGAUGGUGCUGCCGUGGGGAUAGCCAAAGUCAAGACGUUGACUACAGACUCGUCGCAACGAAUCUGGACGCUACGAGCCUGAUUCAUGGACCAAUGGAGGGUCUUGACGCUGUUAGGGUUGGGAUAGGAUGAAUGUGGAGGGUGACGUGCUUGGUUGAGUGCCUCUGGAAGAUUGUGUCCUCCCCGUGGAUCUGUCUAUGGCCAUCGUAGAGGAGAUUGUGGCCCUUCCCCGACGAGCAAGAACAAUGUAGGCGGCAGCAGGAGGUAGGGGUGGAUGCGGGGAUGGAUGUUGAUGGUUGCUCGAGGUUGCGGUGUGGAAAGUCAAGAGCACAAAGUCGAAAUCGGAUAGGAGUUUGAGUUCUUGUUGGCCGUGGAUGGCUCCCCACUUUAGCGAUGUAUUUUUUUCAGUUUGUUGAACCUAGAGUGCCAUUCGCAACAUGUUUCAGGUGACCCAGAAGUUCCCUUUCAUCAGCAGUUACAGAGCGUUCAGAGUUCCGAGCUCUGUCGACGUCGCCAGCCUUGUGAAAUGCCAACUGGUCGUCGCUUCUUUCGGUGCUGACAGGAAACACGUAGAUGUUACUGGACUGCAAUUACCCGGUGUGCUGGAUGACAUGUUUGCAUACAGAGGACCGCUCGGUGCGGUUUUCAGCAAGGACUCUGUGAGCCUGCACCUUUGGGCUCCUACAACACAUGUUUGGCUUCUAAAGACGACGCAUUUUACCAUCUCAAGUGUCGCCUCCGGUUCUGUACUAUUCCCGCUUAUAUGUAAAAUGUGCCCAAUAUAUCUUGUUGGAUGUGAGUGUGUGGUUCUUAGAUGGUCCGCCGGCCCUGCUCUAGAGACAGUGCAGCUCAAGGAGUCAAAUGGUAUUUGGAGUGUUACUUGACCAAGAGAGUGGGAAAACCGAUACUAUUUAUAUGAAGUUGACGUGUAUCAUCCAACUAAGGCACAAAUUCUGAAAUGUUUAGCUGGUGACCUUUAUGCUAGAGGGUAUGUGGUUGUGCGCAUUUCAGUUAUGUAGUUUAGGGAGAGGAACUUUCCGCAGAAGAAAAAAGUUCAGGGAAAGGAAGAAACUAGCUUGUUGUUUAUUUGAUCAGCCUUUCUGUAAAUGGAGCGCGGACCUGGUUGGUUGACAUUAACAAUGAAACAUUGAAGCCAGCUUCCUGGGAUGAAUUGGCCGAUGAUAAGCCAAAACUUGAUUCCUGCUCUGACAUAACCAUCUACGAAUUGCACAUUUGUGAUUUUAGUGCCCAUGAUGGCACAGUGGACAUUGACUCUCGUGGAGGAUUUCGUGCAUUUGCAUACUAGGCCUCAGCAGGAAUGUUUGACUCAUGUACAUUUGUUGCCAAGCUUUCAUUUUGCUGGCGUUGACGACAUUAAGAGCAACUGGAAAUUUUUUGAUAAGGAAAUAUUUCUCUUUAUAAAAGGUGGUAGGUCACUUUUGAGAUUUUGCUAGAUGUCUAUCAUUUUUUUUGCUGGAUAGCAAUGAGUGACAACUACUUGUAAGUACUUAGUUUAAACUGCAGCUCUUCAUUUUCGUCUCAUUUACUUCAGAUUGACUUAUUUGGUUAUACGGA